rnacentral:sRNA from 1 species
GCUCAGCUCUGGUGCAGGGAACAAGGGCUGCAGGUCAGACUCCCGGGCUCCCUUCCCAGUUCUGCCGCUUCCUGGCUGGGGGCCUGGGGCAGGCAAUUCCCCUUACUGAGCAUCAGUUUUUCAUCUGUCAAGUGGGUGGGGUGGAUGUUUCUGUGCUGCAUGACUGUUGUGGGGGUUGGAGGUGGUGAAUAGAAGGUCCAGCAGUCACCUGCGCACAGAAGGAGCUCAUUUCAAUGACAUCACCCCCAUUCCUGACAUCAUUGUGCUCAAGGUCUGGGAAGGCACCUGGGGGUUGUGACCAGUGUAUUGGUGGCCUUCGUCCUACUGCUCCUCCUCCUCUUCCUCGUCCUCCGACAUCGACGUCAGGGCAAACACUGGACAUCGGCCCAGAGAAAGGCUGAUUUCCAACAUCCCGCAGGGGCUGUGGAGCCAGAGCCCAGAGACAGAGGCCUGCAGAGGAGGUAAUUCUUCCCAAAGACCCCAGACUCCCACCCGCCCCUCGCCCAUACACUGCCCCUAAAGCUCCCGUUCCUCCCCCAGGUCCAGCCCCGCUGCCGACGCCCAGGAAGAAAACCCCUAUGCUACCGUGAAGGACACACAGCCUGAGGAUGGGGUGGAGCUGGACACUCGGGUGAGAC